UGCCUUUGUGUUGCCUGUUCAUUCCCUGUGUUGUGAAUAUGGUGUCAACUAAGGCAUACAGUAAAUCUUGUGGCGGCCUUUCUUUGUGGAUGCCCAGAGUGGCAUCUUAAGGGCUGCCACAUGGACACGA